UACGUAGGGGGCGAGCGUUGUCCGGAUUUAUUGGGCGUAAAGAGCUCGUAGGCGGUCUGUCGCGUCGGCUGUGAAAACUCGGGGCUCAACCCCGAGCCUGCAGUCGAUACGGGCAGACUAGAGUGCUGUAGGGGAGACUGGAAUUCCUAGUGUAGCGGUGAAAUGCGCAGAUAUCAGGAGGAACACCGGUGGCGAAGGCGGGUCUCUGGGCCGAUACUGACGCUGAGGAGCGAAAGCGUGGGGAGCAAACAGG
rnacentral:rRNA from 1 species